AGCAGUAGCCGCGGGAAUACGAAGGGGGCUAGCGUUGUUCGGAAUCACUGGGCGUAAAGCGUGCGUAGGCGGCUAAUUGAGUCGGAUGUGAAAUCCCCGAGCUUAACUUGGGAAUUGCAUUCGAUACUGGUUAGCUAGAGUGUGGGAGAGGAUGGUAGAAUUCCAGGUGUAGCGGUGAAAUGCGUAGAGAUCUGGAGGAAUACCGAUGGCGAAGGCAGCCAUCUGGCCUAACACUGACGCUGAGGUACGAAAGCAUGGGGAGCAAACAGGAUUAGAUACCCGCGUAGUCCCUGUCUCUUAUAC
rnacentral:rRNA from 1 species